AUUGAACGCCGGCGGCAUGCCUUACACAUGCAAGUCGAACGGCAGCGGACCUUCGGGUGCCGGCGAGUGGCGCACGGGUGAGUAACACGUAGGUCAUCUGCCUUUUAGUGGGGAAUAACACAGCGAAAGUUGUGCUAAUGCCGCAUACGUAAGUAAUUAGAAAGGGGGCGUCCGCAAGGAGCUCUCGCUGAAAGAAGAGCCUGCGGUCUAUUAGCUAGUUGGUGGGGUAAAAGCCUACCAAGGCAACGAUAGGUAUCCGGUCUGAGAGGAUGAUCGGACACACUGGAACUGAGACACGGUCCAGACUCCUACGGGAGGCAGCAGUAGGGAAUAUUGCGCAAUGGGGGAAACCCUGACGCAGCAACGCCGCGUGAGUGAGGAAGGUCUUCGGAUUGUAAAACUCUUUUCUUAGAGAAAAAUGUCUUAGUAGCUAAUACCUAUUAGGAGUGAUGGUAUCUAAGGAAUAAGCACCGGCUAACUUCGUGCCAGCAGCCGCAGUAAAAC
rnacentral:rRNA from 1 species